AUCUGAAGAGAGGCAGAGAGGUUUAUCCUCUUGCCUCUAAGAAACUAUAGAAACUUAAGUAUAGAGAACAUUCAAAAUAAACACUGGAUAUCCCGACUGACCCUGAGGCUUCGUUCGAUGAAAUCAAAACAAAUUACAGAAACUAGUGUAAGAAUUCAAACAAAAAAGGGGUAGUCUUUCAACUAAAAAAUGAUAAGAACCCUAAUACAAAAAAGGGAGUGAGGAAAAAAAUAGUAAGUAUUACCCAAAUAUGACCUUUCUCAUUUUUUUUGCUGACAAAAUAUCAAUUAAGAUUGCAUAACCAAAAUUAUCUACAGUAUCAUUUCCAAUUGAUAACAUAGUAAACCAAUAGCAGCAACAACAACAAUAACCAUAACAUGGUCAGACAUAUAUGUUUUUGAAACACAUUUAUGUUAGUACAUAAAACAAAAAGUAAAGUUUGAAACGCAGAAUCAAAACCCAUAUUUUGCAAACUUCUAUGUGUUCUGAAAAUAUAUCAGGCCCCGUCCCGUUUUCUUUCUAAACUUUUUUUUUCAAAAAGAAAUAAUUUCAAACUCAAAUAUAACAAAAAUGAAAAAUAAUAUUUCAAUUUUUUUUUGCACCGUUUAAAAGAUUUUAAUGAGAUCUAUCAAACAAGAUCUAUAUUGAUAGGAAAAUUAUUUGCGUAAACACAUAAUUUUUUAGCUUGAAAUUACCUUCCUUUUCUAAAAGUUCUUUUUUUAACAAACUGGAACGCCCCCUCAAUCCGAUCAACAUAAUUUAUGGCGUGGUUAAUAUUCUCGAUGAGAUCUAAAAGUGAACUAUUCCUAUCAUUGAAAUGAGCUCGGAAAGGGCCCACAAACGGGAUGGUCUGUUCAACCCUCUUGAGGGACUGGAGAGGAUCUCUCCAAGUUUAAUCUAGUUCUAAUCAAACGGUUAGAGGGCUACUGUUUGCUCAAAAUCUGGGGACCAACUGUUGCUUUAAUGUUACGGUCUCAUGGCCAGCCCCGAAAUCUUAUAUACUAAGUCCGAAAAGGAAAUAGCAACAGCAUAAACCUAAGAACACAAAUAUCCCCGCAAAAAAAAAAAAAAACCUAACAAAUUAAAACUUCAAACGAGAUAAUCCACAAAAUAUUGACGCAAAAAUAAACAAUGCAAAAA